rnacentral:rRNA from 1 species
CCUACGGGAGGCAGCAGUGGGGAAUAUUGCACAAUGGGGGAAACCCUGAUGCAGCGACGCCGCGUGAGUGAAGAAGUACUUCGUUAUGUAAAGCUCUAUCAGCAGGGAAGAAAAUGACGGUACCUGAGUAAGAAGCCCCGGCUAACUACGUGCCAGCAGCCGCGGUAAUACGUAGGGGGCAGGCGUUAUCCGGAUUUACUGGGGUGAAAGGGAGCGUAGACGGCAGUGCAAGUCUGGAGUGAAAGGCGGGGGCUCAACCCCCGGACUGCUCUGGAAACGGUACGGCUGGAGUGCAGGAGAGGUAAGUGGAAUUCCUAGUGUAGCGGUGAAAUGCGUAGAUAUUAGGAGGAACACCAGUGGCGAAGGCGGCUUACUGGACUGUAACUGACGUUGAGGCUCGAAAGCGUGGGGAGCAAACAGGAUUAGAUACCCCAGUAGUC